rnacentral:rRNA from 1 species
GACGAACGCUGGCGGCGUGCUUAACACAUGCAAGUCGAACGAUGAAGAAAAGAAUCGAAGCUUCGGCAGAAAUUCAUUUCGGAUUAGUGGCAGACGGGUGAGUAACGCGUGAGCAACCUACCUCUUACAAAGGGAUAGCCUCGGGAAACCGGGAUUAAUACCAUAUAACAUUGCGACGAAGCAUUUCGAUGCAAUCAAAGCUACGGCGGUAAGAGAUGGGCUCGCGUCCCAUUAACCGGAUGGUGAGGUAACGGCGCACCAUAGUGACGAUGGGUAACCGGCCUGAGAGGGUGAACGGUCACACUGGAACUGAGACACGGUCCAGACUCCUACGGGAGGCAGCAGUGGGGAAUAUUGCACAAUGGAGGGAACUCUGAUGCAGCGACGCCGCGUGAGUGAUGAAGGAAUUCGUUUCGUAAAACUCUGUUCUAUGGGAAGAAAAGGACUGUACCAUAGGAGAAAGCUCCGGCUAAAUACGUG